rnacentral:rRNA from 1 species
GCUGCAGGAAUUCCCAAUACUAUCGGUACGGGUUGUGGGAGCAAGAGCCCGGAGAUGGAUUCUGAGACACGAAUCCAGGCCCUACGGGGCGCAGCAGGCGCGAAAACUUUACAAUGCAGGCAACUGUGAUAAGGGAACCCCGAGUGCCCGUAUGGACGGGCUGUUCAGGUGCUUAAAAACCACCUGGAGAAAGGGCCGGGCAAGACCGGUGCCAGCCGCCGCGGUAAUACCGGCGGCUCGAGUGGUGGCCACUAUUACUGGGCUUAAAGCGUCCGUAGCUUGGUCGUUAAGCCUCUGGGGAAAUCUUCCGGCUCAACCGGAAGGCGUCUCAGGGGAACUGGCGACCUAGGGAUCGGGAGAGGUGAGAGGUACUCUGGGGGUAGGAGUGAAAUCCUGUAAUCCUCAGGGGACCACCUGUGGCGAAGGCGUCUCACCAGAACGACUCCGACAGUGAGGGACGAAAGCUGGGGGAGCAAACCGGAUUAGAUACCCGGGUAGUCCCAGCCGUAAAC